rnacentral:piRNA from 1 species
AAGGAACGAGGGGAAGCUUCUUUGA